GGGGGUGAACGGUCUCGACUCCGAGAGUUGAGCCAGGGGAAGCGGGCCGAGGAAGCCGGGAUGAUCUCGUAAACCACAAAAACCCGUGCAACCAAUUAGACGCAGAUAAAACUUCGUCUGAUUACAAACUCGCUGCCUAAGCGAGCUCUGUAAUCCGUUGUCCUGAGUGUGCUCUCGGCUCAGGGUUCAACGUCGUAAGAGGGCUUACUGGUCGAUAGCGUUGCGGCUAUCGAUUGGGACAUCUAACGCAACUGCGUUCGUCGGUUACAUGUGUGCGUGAGAACCGGGACAGAGAAAACGUUAAGCACACUACGCCCGUAGAAGCCCUGUAUCAGUCUCGAAGGACCCGGGUUCGAU
rnacentral:tmRNA from 1 species